rnacentral:rRNA from 1 species
CCAUGCCGCGUGUGUGAAGAAGGCCUUCGGGUUGUAAAGCACUUUCAGUGGGGAGGAAGGCUGUUUACUUAAUACCUAAGCAGAUUGACGUUACCCACAGAAGAAGCACCGGCUAACUCCGUGCCAGCAGCCGCGGUAAUAA